rnacentral:rRNA from 1 species
UACGUAGGGUGCAAGCGUUGUCCGGAAUUAUUGGGCGUAAAGGGCUCGUAGGCGGUCCAUCGCGUCGGGAGUGAAAAGCUGGGGCUUAACCCCAGUCCUGCUUCCGAUACGGGUGGACUAGAGGUAGGUAGGGGAGAACGGAAUCUGGUGUAGCGGUGGAAUGCGCAGAUAUCAGGAGGAACACCGGUGGCGAAGGCGCUCUGCUAGGCCGUAACUGACACUGAGGGACGAAAGGCUAGGGGAGCGAAUGGG